CCAAUAGCGUAUAUUAAAGUUGUUGCAGUUAAAAAGCUCGUAGUUGAAUUUUGGGUCUGGCCGGGCGGUCCGCCCUCUGGGUGAGCACUGUUCCGACGUCGGGCCUAUCCUUCUGGUGAGUCGGCAUGUCCUUUAUUGGGUGUGUCGGGGAACCAGGACCAUUACCUUGAAAAAAUUAGAGUGUUCAAAGCAGGCGUAUGCUCGGAUACAUUAGCAUGGAAUAAUGAAAUAGGACGCGUGGUGCUAUUUUGUUGGUUUCUAGAACCGCCGUAAUGAUUAAUAGGGAUAGGUGGGGGCAUUAGUAUUCAAUUGUCAGAGGUGAAAUUCUUGGAUUUAUUGAAGACUAACUUCUGCGAAAGCAUUUGCCAAGGAUGUUUUCAUUAAUCAAGAACGAAAGUUAGGGGAUCGAAGACGAUCAGAUACCGUCGUAGUCUUAACCAUAAACUAUGCCGACUAGGAAUCGGGCGAUGUUAUUCUCAUGACUCGCCCGGCGCCUUAUG
rnacentral:rRNA from 1 species